rnacentral:rRNA from 1 species
UACGAAGGGGGCUAGCGUUGUUCGGAAUCACUGGGCGUAAAGCGCACGUAGGCGGCUCUUUAAGUCAGAGGUGAAAUCCCGAGGCUCAACCUCGGAACUGCCUUUGAUACUGGGGAUCUCGAGUCCGGGAGAGGUGAGUGGAACUGCGAGUGUAGAGGUGAAAUUCGUAGAUAUUCGCAAGAACACCAGUGGCGAAGGCGGCUCACUGGCCCGGAACUGACGCUGAGGUGCGAAAGCGUGGGGAGCAAACAGG